AGCACAAAGAACUCCUUGGACAGCAGCCUACGACAACUAUAAUGCCAUUUCACCUGGAACUUGGUAGAGGGAGAAAAUUCCUUGGAUGAUUUUGAAGACAGAGUGUGUAACCUGAUUCAGUUUCAGAACAGCGAAUUCCAAGCCACAAUGUGCAACAUAUUUGCCUACAUAAAACACUGCAGAGGCCAGCACGAGGCAGCCCUGGGAUGCUUACAGCAGGCUGAAGAGUUCAUCCAGCGAAAGCACGCUGACCAGGCAGAGAUCAGAAGCCUGGUCACCUGGGGAAACCACGCCUGGGUCUACUACCACCUGGGAAGAUUCUCAGAAGCUCAGGUUUAUGUAGACAAGGUGAAACAAGUUUGCCGGAAGUAUUUCAGCCCCUACAGAAUUGAGAGUCCUGAGAUGGAUUGUGAGGAAGGGUGGACACGGUUAAGGUGUGGAGGAAACCAAAAUGAAAGGGCCAAGGUGUGUUUUGAGAAGGCUCUGGAAAAGAAACCCAACAACCCAGAAUUCUCCUCUGGACUGGCCAUCACGAGCUACCGUCUAGUUAAAUGGCCACCGUCUCAGAAUCCUGUUGACCCUUUGAGGCAAGCCAUUCAGCUGAAUCCUGAAAAACAGUAUGUCAAAGUCCUCCUGGCCCUGAAACUUCAAAAGAUUAAUAAAGAAGGUGAAGGAGAGAGGUUAGUCAAAGAAGCUUUGGAGAAAGCCCCAUUGGCAACACACAUGCUUCCUGGGGCAGCAAAGCUGUAUCAAAGAAAAGGUGACCUGGACCAAGCUGUAGAACUCCUGAGAAAGGCUCUAAAAUGCAUGCCAAACAACACCUACCUGCAUUGCCACAUUGGGUGCUACAAUAGGGCCAAAGUCCUUGAAAUACAGAAAAUGGGUGGGAAAAGAGAGAAGUUACAGGAACUAAUAGGACACGCUCUAGGUCAUUUAAAGAGAGUGGAUGAGAGCGAUGGAAAUUUCUUCCAUAUCUGCUCCUAUCUCGCCUGCCUCUCUUCACAAGCUGGUCGGUGUGAAGAAGCAGAGGAUUACUUUCGAAAAGAAUUCAGCAAAGAGCUUCCUUCUGUAGCCAAACAAGCGCUCCAUCUGCGAUAUGGCAACUUUCAGCUGUAUCAAAUUAAGUGUGAAGACAAGGCCAUCCACCAUUUUACGACGGGUGUGAAAAUAAACCAGGAGUCAAAGGAGAGAGGAAAAAAUGUAAAACAGACUGCAAAAAUUUGCCAAAAUCAAGCCCUCAAAAAACGGAGCAGAUCCUAAGGCUUUGCAUCUCUUGGCGUUUCUUCAGGAACUGAAUGGAGAAAUGCAGCCAGCAGAGAAAAACUCUGAGAGGGGUUUGGACUCUGGAAACCUCAUCCCUUUAGCAUCUUUAGCUGAGGAAUAG